rnacentral:rRNA from 1 species
GACGAACGCUGGCGGCGUGCUUAAUACAUGCAAGUCGAACGGAGUGGCGAACGGGUGAGUAACACGUGGGUGAUCUGCCUUGCACCUCGGGAUAAGCUUGGGAAACUGGGUCUAAUACCGGAUAGUGCAAGAUGAGCUCGCGGCCUAUCAGCUUGUUGGUGGGGUAAUGGCCUACCAAGGGGUCGACGGGUAGCCGGCCUGAGAGGGUGUACGGCCACAGUGGGACUGAGAUACGGCCCAGACGCCUACGGGAGGCAGCGGUGGGGAAUAGUGCACAAUGGGCGGAAGCCGGAUGGAGGGACGCCGCGUGGGGGAGGAAGGCUUUCGGGUUGUAAACUCCUUUCGACAGGGACGCGGUACCUAAAUAGGAAGCACCGGCUAACUACGUGCCAGCAGCCGCGGUAAUUC